GAAGUCCACUGAACCUUAUCAUUUAGAGGAAGGAGAAGUCGUAACAAGGUUUCCGUAGGUGAACCUGCGGAAGGAUCAUUGUCGAUACCUUACAUGAAAUCCAACACGUGAAUCUGUUUCAACAACUAGGUUUUGCUUGAGGUGUUAAAACUUCUGGCAAUACCUUUCGGUUUGAAGGUAGACGACAUAGUGCGUCCUCCUUUCUACCAAACUCAAACCCCGGCGCUGAAUGCGUCAAGGAAUUUAAAUUUUGAUCUUAGCACAUCUACAUGAUGUCGGAGACGAUUUUCGUGUUGCUUGUGCUUUGACACUUUAUAUUAGAAUGACUCUCGGCAACGGAUAUCUAGGCUCUUGCAUCGAUGAAGAACGUAGCGAAAUGCGAUACUUGGUGUGAAUUGCAGAAUCCCGUGAACCAUCGAGUCUUUGAACGCAAGUUGCGCCCGAUGCCAUUAGGUUGAGGGCACGUCUGCCUGGGUGUCACAUAUCGAAGCCUCUUGCCAAUAUCCUAUUCAUAGGUAUUGUGCACGGUGAAUGUUGGCCUCCCGUAGCUCUUCUGGCUCACGGUUGGUUGAAAAUCGAGACCUUGGUAGGGUGUGCCAUGAUUGAUGGUGGUUGUGUGACCCACGAGAACUUGAAAAUCAUACACUAUUCUACUAAAUGUGGCCUCUAUUACCCAUUUUGCGUUUGCAAACGCUCGUGAUGAGACCUCAGGUCAGGCGGGGCUACCCGCUGAAUUUAAG
rnacentral:rRNA from 1 species